CUUGGAUAAAACUGUGCAGAUUACUUGGAAUUUCAACAGCUUUUCAGGGGCAUUUACGUACAGCCUUGAUUUUUAUAAUACUUCAUGCCUUGUAACCAGCAAUAAAACUGACCACUAUUUGUAAAAAAUAAAGCUCAAAGACUCCUCUGAUAAUACCAGAUAAUAGAUACUCAUCUGCUCUGAACUAAAGGAUCACUGAGCAGAACCCAAAUCUAGCCCGCAGCUGGAGGAAGAAGCCCUCCUCUUGGCUUUAUGACAAGAUCAGGUGAUGCUCAUGACUUCAAUACAUGGACUGGCCACUAAAAAAGGAUUAAGACCACCUACUAAAGGGUUAGGGUGGUAUGGUGCCACCCCAAAACAGGAACCAGGCUGAGGACGCAGCAAGCUUGGUGUGAUGCCAGAAACACAAGAGAGCAAGUGGAAGCCUGGCAUACCUCUUAAGUCCUAGUUUGAAACAGCCCUAUUUGUCUUAAAGAGAAGCCACAGCUGAAUCCGACAUUGGGAACACAUUCCUACGAAGUAAAUAACAUCUUGUUUCUAGACGUUUACCUGUGAAAAGGAACGAACUUACAAAAAGGAGCUAAGAAGACAAAG
rnacentral:lncRNA from 10 species